rnacentral:rRNA from 1 species
AAAUAUUAUUAAUUUUUAUUCAUAUGAAUAAUUUAUAUAAAUUAAAAAUAAGUUAUAAGAAUAAUUUAUGUACAAGUAAUAAGUUAUAAAAUUUACAUAAUAAUAAUUAAUUCUAAAAUAUUUAUAUAAUUUAAUAUAUUUGAAAUAAAUAAUAUAUUUAAUAAUAUAUUUAAAAUAAAUUAUAUAAUACAUAUUAAUGUUUAUAAUAUUUUAAUAUUACUACUAUUUUAUUUUUAUUUUAUAAAUUAUAAAUUUUAUAAUAUAACAACAUCUAAUUCUAAAGUAACUCAAAAAUUUUUAGUAAAUCUGAAAUAAUCUUAAAUUUAACAGCAAAAUGAUUCAAUAAUUCUUAAUAAAAUUUUUUUUUUAUUUCUUCAAAUUAUUAAUAGAAUUUUAUUUGAUAAAAUUAAAUUAGUUUAAUUUAACUUAAUUUGAAAUUUUUAUAUUAUUAAUUAUUUUAUUUUAAUAAAUUGAUUUAAAAAAAAUAUUUAUAUUUUUUUUAUUUUUAGUAUUAUUUAAAGAAAAAAUUUUUUUAUUUAUAAUAUAUUUGUAUAUUGAUAGAAAUUUGAAAAAUUUUGAAAAAAAAAUUUUUAAAAAAGUAUAUUUUAUUUAUAGUACCUUGUGUAUCAGGGUUAAUUAAAAAAAUUAUAUUUAUAUGAUAUUUUUCUCGAAUUUAAAAGAUCUAUUUAAUAAAAUUAUUUUUAAUGUUUAAUAAUUAUUUUUAAUUUUUAAAUAGAAAUGAGAUGUUUUUCGUUUUUAAAGUUAUCUAGUUUUUUAAUAAAUAAAUUUAAUUUAGAUAUUUUAAUAAUUAAUUAUUUUAUUUAAAUAAAAUAAUUAAUUAAAAUAUUAAAGUUUUAAGGGAUUAGCUUUAAUUCUUAAUUUUAUAAUUAAUUAAAAAUAAUUUAUAAAUUAUUUUUAGGCUUAGUAAUGGCUUUAAUUUAAAAAUUGUAAUAAUUUUAUAAUAUAUUUAUAUAUAUAAAUUUAAUAUUAAUUUAAUUUUAUAUUAAAAUAAAUUAAUAAAUAAAAAUUUAAUUUAAAUUAUGAUUAAAUUAGUAAAUAUUUAAAAUUAAUUAUUUAAUAAAAUGAAAGUUAAUUAGUAGGAACUUAGCAAAAAUUUAUCUCGCCUGUUUAACAAAAACAUGUCUUUUUGAUUUUUAUAAAAAGUCUGAUCUGCUCAAUGAAAAUUUUAAAUAGCCGCGGUAUUCUGACCGUGCAAAGGUAGCAUAAUAAUUUGUUCAUUAAUUGUGGACUAGAAUGAAAGAUUUGACGAGGUUAAUUCUGUCUUUUAAUUAUUAAUUAUUGAAUUUAAUUUUUAAGUUAAAAAGCUUAAAUUUUAUUAAAGGACGAGAAGACCCUAUAGAGUUUUAUAAUAUAUUUAUAUUUGUAUAUUAAUAUUUUUAUAUAAAUAUUUAUAAUUAUUUUAUUGGGGUGAUAAUUAAAUUUAAUUAACUUUAUAUAAUAUUAAUUAUACAUUUAUUUAUGAUUUUAUGAUCCUAAAAUUUAGAUUAUUAGAUUAAAUUACCUUAGGGAUAACAGCGUUAUUUUUUUUUAAGUUCUUAUUAACAUUAAAAAUUGCGACCUCGAUGUUGGAUUAAAAUUAAUUUUAGGUGUAGAAGCUUAAUAUUUAAGUCUGUUCGACUUUUAAAAUUUUACAUGAUCUGAGUUCAAACCGGUUUAAGCCAGGUUGGUUUCUAUCCUUAAUUUAUAUUAAAUUUUUAGUACGAGAGGACCAAAGUUUAAAAUUAUUUUUAAUUUUUUUUAUUGAAUAUUAUUAAAUUAUAACUA